rnacentral:misc_RNA from 1 species
GAUGAAGAACGCAGCGAAAUGCGAUAAGUAGUGUGAAUUGCAGAAUUCAGUGAAUCAUCGAAUCUUUGAACGCACAUUGCGCCCCUUGGUAUCCCGAGGGGCAUGCCUGUUCGAGCGUCAUUUCACCACUCAAGCCUGGCUUGGUGUUGGGCGACGUCCUCUUUGGGGACGCGCCUCGAAACGCUCGGCGGCGUGGCACCGGCUUUAAGCGUAGCAGAAUCUUUCGCUUUGGAAGUCGGGGCCCCGUCUGCCGGAAGACCUGCUCGCAAGGUUGACCUCGGAUCAGGCAGGGAUACCCGCUGAACUUAAGCAUGUCAAUAAGCGGAGGA